rnacentral:rRNA from 1 species
UACGGGGGGGGCAAGGGUUGUUCGGAAUUACUGGGCGUAAAGGGCGCGUAGGCGGUUUGCUAAGUUGAAUGUGAAAACUCUGGGCUUAACCCAGAGCCUGCAUUCAAUACUGGCAGGCUAGAGUUCUGGAGGGGAUAGCGGAAUUCCUGGUGUAGCGGUGAAAUGCGUAGAUAUCAGGAGGAACACCGGUGGCGAAGGCGGCUAUCUGGACAGAGUCUGACGCUGAGGCGCGAAAGCUAGGGGAGCAAACAGG